rnacentral:rRNA from 1 species
AACGAACGCUGGCGGCAUGCCUAACACAUGCAAGUCGAACGAGACCUUCGGGUCUAGUGGCGCACGGGUGCGUAACGCGUGGGAACCUGCCCUUAGGUUCGGAAUAACUCCCCGAAAGGGGUGCUAAUACCGGAUAAUGUCUUCGGACCAAAGAUUUAUCGCCUUUGGAUGGGCCCGCGUUGGAUUAGCUAGUUGGUAGGGUAAAAGCCUACCAAGGCGACGAUCCAUAGCUGGUCUGGGAGGAUGAUCAGCCACACUGGGACUGAGACACGGCCCAGACUCCUACGGGAGGCAGCAGUGGGGAAUAUUGGACGAUGGGCGAAAGCCUGAUCCAGCAAUGCCGCGUGAGUGAUGAAGGCCUUAGGGUUGUAAAGCUCUUUUACCCGGGAUGAUAAUGACAGUACCGGGAGAAUAAGCUCCGGCUAACUCCGUG